ACGAACGCUGGCGGCAGGCUUCACACAUGCCAGUCGCACGCAUGCCUUCGGGCAUGAGUGGCAGACGGGUGAGUAACGCGUGGGAACCUACCCCUUGGUACGGGAUAUCUCCGGGAAACUGGAGAUAAUACCGUAUGUGUCCUGAGGGACAAAGAUUCAUCGCCAAGGGAUGGGCCCGCGUCGGAUUAGCUAGUUGGUGGGGUAACGGCCUACCAAGGCAACGAUCCGUAGCUGGUCUAAGAGGAUGAUCAGCCACAUUGGGACUGAGACACGGCCCAAACUCCUACGGGAGGCAGCAGUGGGGAAUAUUGGACAAUGGGCGCAAGCCUGAUCCAGCCAUGCCGCGUGAGUGAUGAAGGCCCUAGGGUUGUAAAGCUCUUUCACCGGUGACGAUAAUGACGGUAACCGGAGAAGAAGCCCCGGCUAACUUCGUG
rnacentral:rRNA from 1 species